CACUUGUUUCACAGAUGCUCACUUCAGAUUCAUUGUUGUUUUCUUCUCUUUUAGAAUCAUCGCUCAUUUUUUGUCGGAAAGGAGUGCGAUGAACACCCUCUUGCAAAUUAAAAUUGUAUGUGCGUGUUUACUGGUGGGUCUACAAAUCUAAUUCUUUCCAGUUCCAAAAACUGCUCUGACAAAUGACUGAUUCCAAAAUCAUCCAAGGCAUUGAACUGACAUGGAUUGUUGACAUGUUUCUUUAAACUGCGACGGAGAGAUACAGUUCUAGAUGGGAUGACUUUCAUCUGAAAUCUGAAGAACGCAAAGAGCCAGCUGUUGAAGGAGGAAGAAGUGGAAACAGCAGAUACAAAAGUCACGAUAUAGGAAAACCUUGCUGUGCUCAGAAAAGAAAGGCCACUGGGGCUGGAACAUAGUCACUGAAAAGACCAGUGAGAGGUCUUGAGCUACAAAUUUGGAAGCCACCAGCAGGCAGACAAUAUUUAAAGCUAUGGGAGCAGAUGAGAUGGGCCUAGGACAACUGAUGUUUAAAAGUAAAGAAGCCAGCAGAAGAGAUGGACAUAGAACAGUCAGAAAGAGUAUGAUGGUAAGAAAGCUAAGAGAUCAAAGUAUUUCCAGCAAAGAGUUAUCCCUGUACUAUGUUUUACUUCAAGGCCAACAAAAAAGAGAAGUGACCCCUGAAUUUGGUAACACGGAGGUUUUGGUGACCUUGACACACAGUGACAACAGAAUGGUGGGGAUGAAAGCCUGGUAAGAGUGAGUUCAAAUGUUAGGGGACGCUGAGGAAGGGAAGACAGUAAGUGCUCUGUUCUCUCUGGAAAAGUUCUGCUGUGAAUGGAAGCAGAGAGAUGAGAUGGAGGAAUGAGAUCAGGAGAGGUUCCAUUUAUUUUCUUUUCCUCUUAAGAUGAGAGAUACUGAAGCACAUUUGUAUGUAGCUAGAACGAUUCAGUAGAGGGAGGUAAAUGUUGGAGAAGGGUGCAAAGUCCUAGAGGAGAUGAAAAGAAGGGAAUCUGAUGCACAAGGGGAGGGACUGGCCUUGGAUAGGAGCAGAGACACUUCUGCCAAUGGCACAGGAAGGAAGACAGAGAACACAGUGUAGACACAGGAAGGUGUGUAGAUCUCUGUUAGGAAGACGAGUGGCCCAGUCUGAUUCCUUAAAAGUCAUUCCAAUUCAGUGCAGUUGUUUUAUGAAAUUUGAUGUACAUAUAAUAUGAAGACAUUAUAAUGAACAGGUUAAAACUGUUCAUCAGAAACAACUAGAAAUUUAAUCCUGUUAAAAGUUUUAAAUUUAUUAUCAAUAUAGCUAAUGUUCUAAAGCUAGUAUUAUUACUGAAGAUAAGUAAAGGAGGAUAUUUAACUACAGAGUGAUAUAAAAAUUAUUUAGAAGAGCCAUGAUAAAACUUAGGGAACAAAAUGCUAUUAGAAAUUACUUUCUGAUUAAUCCUUACAGGGUAAGUUAAUUAUUGGCAGGCAAGAAAAACAUUCUUUUUUUUUUGUGGUACGUGGGCCUCUCACUGUAGUGGCUUCUCCCGUUGCGGAGCACAGGCUCCAGACAUGCAGGCUCAGCGGCCAUGGCUCACGGGCCCAGCCGCUCCACGGCAUGUGGGAUCUUCCCGGACCGGGGCACGAACCUGUGUCCCCUGCAUUGGCAGGCGGACUCUCAACCACUGCGCCACCAGGGAAGCCCAAGAAAAACAUUCUUAUUAAAGCAUUUUAAGUUCUCCAGCACUGCAAAAUUGACUUGAUAAACAAGGAUGCACACGUAUACAAUGACGGUUGAGAAUGAGUGAUACAUACAGCGAGUACGUGGCAGAAAACAAACUCUGAUGUUUUAAAUGCUAGGAAUACUUUCACCCAGCAACUAACGACAUCUUUUAAUAAAUAUUCAAAAAUCACUGAUAAAUGUCAAAAGGCCUACAAUAACAGAAUUUUUUCACCACUGUUUUUGUGAUUAUCUCAUUGAGUACUCACUUGACACCACUCUGUGUGAUUUCAGCAAAAAUUUGGA